CAGCAGCCACGGGAAUACGAGGGGGGCAAGCGUUGUUCGGAAUUAUUGGGCGUAAAGGGCGCGUAGGCGGUUUGGCAAGUUUGGUGUGAAAUCUUCGGGCUCAACUCGAAGUCUGCACCGAAAACUGCCGGGCUUGAGUAUGGGAGAGGUGAGUGGAAUUUCCGGUGUAGCGGUGAAAUGCGUAGAUAUCGGAAGGAACACCUGUGGCGAAAGCGGCUCACUGGACCAUCACUGACGCUGAGGCGCGAAAGCUAGGGGAGCAAACAGGAUUAGAUACCCGUGUAGUCCCUGUCUCUUAUAC
rnacentral:rRNA from 1 species